rnacentral:rRNA from 1 species
CAGCAGUGGGGAAUCUUGCACAAUGGGCGAAAGCCUGAUGCAGCGAUGCCGCGUGCGGGAAGAAGGCCCUAGGGUUGUAAACCGCUUUCAGGAGGGAAGAAAAUGACGGUACCUCCAGAAGAAGGUGCGGCCAACUACGUGCCAGCAGCCGCGGUGACACGUAGGCACCAAGCGUUAUCCGGAUUUAUUGGGCGUAAAGAGCUCGUAGGCGGUUUGGUAAGUCGGGUGUGAAAACUCUGGGCUCAACCCAGAGAGGCCACUCGAUACUGCUAUGACUAGAGUACGGUAGGGGAGCGGGGAAUUCCUGGUGUAGCGGUGAAAUGCGCAGAUAUCAGGAGGAACACCAGCGGCGAAGGCGCCGCUCUGGGCCGUAACUGACGCUGAGGAGCGAAAGCAUGGGUAGCAAACAGGAUUAGAUACCCUGGUAGUCCAUGCCGUAAACGUUGGGCACUAGGUGUGGGUCUCAACCAACGAGAUCCGCGCCGUCGCUAACGCAUUAAGUGCCCCGCCUGGGGAGUACGGUCGCAAGACUAACUCA